AUCCUCAGGAAAAAAGCUUGAAGGGACAAUGUCCGAAUCGCUUGGGGCAGCUCCGUCAACUGGCCUUCCGGUCAUGCCUUUGGCCCAUACGGCCCGAUUGCGAUCCGCCACCGUUGUGGAACUGGAAAUCCAGCGGCUGGUCCAGCUGACACCGAGCUGCGUUGCCCACUUACCCGAGGUCCUCUACCGUGUCACGACGGACAGCAUCAUAUCAAAUAUGAUUGAUCCAGUGAAAGCCCUGGCAUCCUUUUUUCCGCCAGCAUCCGCUUCACCCCCAACACGGCUCAAUUGGACGACGACCUCUACGACACGCUGGAGAGUCUGAUUGAAUUCAUCGAUCACGGUCGUUUCCGGCGUUCUUCCGUUACCGAAUGGUGGCCACUUCGUCCAGCUGCGGAGUUAUCCAGUGCGUUUCCAACCCGAAAUCCUGCGACUAGCUCGGCCGCUAAACAGAUGUCAGCAACUUCAACGACUAUUUCAUCAACAAAUACGGUGACGAGGUUACAUGAGUUCCAGACAGUCAGGCGCAAUAUAACACGCUCCACGGCUGCCUACUCUCUGGUCGGUUUCUUCCUACAGAUCAAGGAUCGCCACUAUGGCAACACAUGAUCGAAGGCUAUAAGGGCAUCACAUUAUUCACAUCGAUUUUGGCAUCAUGUUUGAAGUUCCCCCGGUGGCAAUUUAGGAUUCGAUGUAUCGCGAGGUCCAUCAUUGUGUCUCUUGUCUGGUUGAUGCCCGACACCCGACAGCCCCGCUUACGGGAGGAGACCCUCAUGUUCCUGUAGUCCCGUUUCUUGCACAUGGACGACCGCGAAGCCGCCAACCAGCAAACCACAAUCAACAUUGUCCGCUCGUUGUUACUCAACAUCCUUACCAGAACCUAAACGUCAGGAAAUUAUAUGAUUUGAAGGACUCAUUUGCUUUACUUGUAAAUUGAUAGAGCAUAUAGGUUUUUUUUUAAUGUAAUGUGUUUCACUAUUCCCUGUUGUACGUCGUUUGUUGAGUCUGAUUUGAUAAGUCAAUAGAAACAAGCCUU
rnacentral:lncRNA from 1 species